rnacentral:rRNA from 1 species
GACAAACGCUGGCGGCGUGCCUAACACAUGCAAGUCGAACGAAGGAUUAUCUUAAUGAGUACUCGUACUAAUUAAGAUAGUUUCUUAGUGGCGAACGGGUGAGUAACGCGUGAGUAAUCAACCCUGUUGACUGGAAUAACAGCGGGAAACUGCUGCUAAUACCGGAUAUGUGCCUAUCAGAUAACUGAUAUGGCAAAAAGUGUAUUCUUCGGAGUAUGCGCGACAGGACGAGCUUGCGUCCCAUUAGCUAGUUGGUAAGGUAAAAGCUUACCAAGGCUAUGAUGGGUAGCCGGUCUGAGAGGAUGAACGGCCACACUGGGACUGAGACACGGCCCAG